AGCAGCCGCGGUAAUUCCAGCUCCAAUAGCGUAUAUUAAAGUUGUUGCAGUUAAAAAGCUCGUAGUUGAAUUUCGGGAUCAGUUGGUCGGUCGUGCCUCGGUACGUACUGGUCAAAUUGAUUCCUACCUUCUGACGAACCACGAUGUCAUUAAUUUGGUGUCGCGGGAAAUCAGGACUGUUACUUUGAAAAAAUUAGAGUGUUUAAAGCAGGCUCGCGCUUGAAUACAUUAGCAUGGAAUAAUGAAAUAGGACGUUUGAUUCUAUUUUGUUGGUUUCUAGGAUCGACGUAAUGAUUAAUAGGGAUAGUUGGGGGCAUUAGUAUUCAAUUGUCAGAGGUGAAAUUCUUGGAUUUAUUGAAGACUAACUACUGCGAAAGCAUUUGCCAAGGAUGUUUUCAUUAAUCAAGAACGAAAGUUAGGGGAUCGAAGACGAUCAGAUACCGUCGUAGUCUUAACCAUAGACUAUGCCGACUAGGGAUCGGAUGAUGUUAAUUUUUUAAUGACUCAUUCGGCGCCUUAC
rnacentral:misc_RNA from 2 species